rnacentral:rRNA from 1 species
UACGUAGGGCGCAAGCGUUGUCCGGAAUUAUUGGGCGUAAAGAGCUCGUAGGCGGCUUGUCACGUCGGGUGUGAAAGACCGGGGCUUAACCCCGGUUCUGCAUUCGAUACGGGCUGGCUAGAGUGUGGUAGGGGGAGAUCGGAAUUCCUGGUGUAGCGGUGAAAUGCGCAGAUAUCAGGAGGAACACCGGUGGCGAAGGCGGAUCUCUGGGCCAUUACUGACGCUGAGGAGCGAAAGCGUGGGGAGCGAACAGG